AGAGUUUGAUCCUGGCUCAGGACGAACGCUGGCGGCGUGCUUAACACAUGCAAGUCGAACGAUGAACCCGGAGCUUGCUCCGGCGGAUUAGUGGCGAACGGGUGAGUAACACGUGAGUAACCUGCCCUUGACUCUGGGAUAACUGCUAGAAAUGGUAGCUAAUACCGGAUACGACCCUCGGCGGCAUCGCCAGGGGGUGGAAAGAAUUUCGGUCAAGGAUGGACUCGCGGCCUAUCAGCUAGUUGGUGAGGUAACGGCUCACCAAGGCGACGACGGGUAGCCGGCCUGAGAGGGUGACCGGCCACACUGGGACUGAGACACGGCCCAGACUCCUACGGGAGGCAGCAGUGGGGAAUAUUGCACAAUGGGCGCAAGCCUGAUGCAGCAACGCCGCGUGAGGGAUGACGGCCUUCGGGUUGUAAACCUCUUUUAGUAGGGAAGAAGCGAAAGUGACGGUACCUGCAGAAAAAGCACCGGCUAACUACGUGCCAGCAGCCGCGGUAAUACGUAGGGUGCAAGCGUUGUCCGGAAUUAUUGGGCGUAAAGAGCUCGUAGGCGGUUUGUCGCGUCUGCUGUGAAAUCCCGAGGCUCAACCUCGGGCCUGCAGUGGGUACGGGCAAACUAGAGUGUGGUAGGGGAGACUGGAAUUCCUGGUGUAGCGGUGGAAUGCGCAGAUAUCAGGAGGAACACCAAUGGCGAAGGCAGGUCUCUGGGCCAUAACUGACACUGAGGAGCGAAAGUGCGGGGAGCGAACAGGAUUAGAUACCCUGGUAGUCCGCACCGUAAACGGUGGGCACUAGUUGUGGGAACCUUCCACGGUUUCCGCGACGCAGCAAACGCAUUAAGUGCCCCGCCUGGGGAGUACGAUCGCAAGAUUAAAACUCAAAGGAAUUGACGG
rnacentral:rRNA from 1 species